rnacentral:rRNA from 1 species
GACGUAGGGCGCGAGCGUUGUCCGGAUUUAUUGGGCGUAAAGAGCUCGUAGGCGGCUCGUUGCGUCGGCUGUGAAAACCCGCAGCUCAACUGUGGGCUUGCAGCCGAUACGGGCGGGCUUGAGUUCGGUAGGGGAGACUGGAAUUCCUGGUGUAGCGGUGAAAUGCGUAGAUAUCGGAAGGAACAUCAGUGGCGAAAGCGGCUUCCUGGUCCAGCACCGACGUUCAGGCACGAAAGCGUGGGGAGCAAACAGG